CUGGACAAGGGGUUAACGCAGGGGGCGGCAACCUUUCGGAAAUGGUGUGCCGAGUCUUCAUUUAUUCACUCUAAUUUAAGGUUUCGCAUGCCAGUGAUACAUUUUAAUGUUU